UACGUAGGGUGCAAGCGUUAUCCGGAAUUAUUGGGCGUAAAGAGCUCGUAGGCGGUUUGUCGCGUCUGCUGUGAAAACUGGGGGCUCAACCUCGGACUUGCAGUGGGUACGGGCAGACUAGAGUGUGGUAGGGGAGACUGGAAUUCCUGGUGUAGCGGUGGAAUGCGCAGAUAUCAGGAGGAACACCGAUGGCGAAGGCAGGUCUCUGGGCCAUUACUGACACUGAGAAGCGAAAGCAUGGGGAGCGAACAGG
rnacentral:rRNA from 1 species